CUGAUUCUUUACCACUGAACCACCAGGGAAGCCACUAUACUCAAACUUUUGAAUGUUUUGUUUCUUUGGGAUUUGCUUCCAAUUAAUCUCAGUAAAUAUGCCGCCAAUUUUCCAGCCUAGCCAAACCCAAGAGCAGGUCAUAAUUGUAAGGAUUUGGCACCUACAAUUCUAACUAUCAAACUGCACCCCUUUUGUAGGGUAUUGUGACCUGGAAUGUUACUGAGGCUUUGCUUGACGGACAAAUUAUAUCAAACUGGGUGAAGAUGGACAUGUAAGAGAAGGCAGAAGAGGCUUCCUUGGCUUAGAACAGCAAACACAUUUGUGGAUACAAAACGCAUUGUGCAGUGUGUUGAAGUUAUUGAUGACCAGCCACAGUUCAUCAGCACACUUUAGGGAAGUAUAGCCCUUUUUAAAAUAAAUAAAAAAUAAAUACAAUAUCACUUUCUUUCACCUGUACUCCAAAAAUAAUUUUUUUGAAUUGGAGAGAGAGAAUGAAUUAGAGAUACUUCACCAGGAAUUAUAGAGUCCAGAGAGUAUGUCAAACAUGUGAAUUUCAUGUCUGUCACCAGGAGGAAAUGGUUCAGAAAGCUGGUCUUCAAGUACCCAGAGACCUGGGCAAUCUUUGAAAAUGAAGACUCAGGUGGUAACUAUAGCUACUUCUUAGAUGGCAUCCUCUUGCUCCUGGAUUUCACAAAUGAAAACUUCUAAGUCCUGAGCAUCUUGGUUACCCCCACCCCGCAAAAUGAAUCAUCACGCAGACCUUCUGGCCCCAUAAGUUUCAUGAUUAUGGCCUGGGAGUCAGAACAUGUUAGGAACCCUUUGCUUGGGCAAGUAAUUAUUCACUUUUUAAUCACAGCUACUUAAUCACAGCUUGACAAACAUUCUCACUUGCUUCGGGGGCUGUUUCUGCUCAGAUCGUCCUGCCAAAAGAGACGCUGCCUCUGUGCAUGAGUACUUGUUCAGUUAAUUAAGGAGAGAGCUCUGCUCGUCAGUGAAGGGAGAAGGGAGCCCAAGCGCAUGGAAGGACUUUUAACCAUCAGACUAGCUGCACACAGCUCUGGUGGAGCUCCGGUUGGAACACUGUUGACAUCUGCUCCCUGUCUGCAAACUGUGCUGUGGAGCAGGGCUGAGCCCAGGCUGCUGUGGGGUCCAUCAUCUUCCAAAAGCAAGGGCAGCAGUGGGGGCCUCUGGCCUCCAAGUCCCUGCAAGAUGAGCGAGUACAGAUGACUGAUGGGGCCAGGCUGUCAAGAGCAAGCUGAGAUUCGAGCAGAGGAUGCCGGAUCUUGCCAGCAAUCCUGUCAGCGUUACCUCUUUCCCUCCAUCCAGACCUCAAUGUCACUGGGGCUGUGGAUGGAUCUUGUCUGCUCUGUACAGGAAAAGAUCAUGUCUUGGCUACUGCAGCAUGGACUACUGAGUCUUCUACCUCGAAGGAAGGUCAUGACAUUGGAAGAGGGCUUUGGAGGAGGAGGAAGACUUACCUUGGACAUUGCUCAAAGCUGUUCGGUAAUGCGUUGCUGCAACUGCUCAACAAGAAGCUUCCCUAAAGCUGUUGCUGAUUCAUUUCCAAAGACAAAACAACUGUCUUUCCUCUACUUGUGGGUCAGGAGCCACUACGUUACUUGCCCUCCAUAGCAUAGUCAACGUGGCAUGUCAUGAGCUAGAAAUGAUUAUUGCGAAACUAUGAGGAGUCCAUAUUUAAUUAGGUAUAAAUUCUGAGAACAAAUUUGUACUAUAUUUGGCGGGGGGGGGGGCGCAGAAAUGAAGGCUCUGAUCUACAAGAAAGCGUGAAUACAGUAACUGCAUUCUAAUGUGAUGGGCUUCCGCAGUGGCUCAGCAGUAAAGAAUCUGCCUGCAAUGCAGGAGAUACUGGUUUGAUCCCUGGGUCUGGAAGAUCCCCUGGAGAAGGGCAUGGCAACCCACUCCAGUAUUCUUGCCUGGAGAAUUCCAUGGACAGAGGGAUCUGGCAGGCUAUGGUCCAUGGGGUCGCAAAGACUUGGAUACAGUUGAAGUGACUGAGCAUGCAUGCACAUUCUGAUGUGAUAGAAAAGAAACUACAGACAGUCCCAACAGAAAUUUAAUAUUUUCUUCUUUUUAUAUAUUUCAUAUGAGUCCAAAGUACAUUUGUGUAUCUCAAGUCCUACCCUGUGAGGUAGGAAGAGAAAGAAGGAAUAAUCUUUAUUAGCAUAAGAAAAGCCAAGGGGAGGGAUGAGGUUAAGCUGAAUGAUUUCUUUGAAUAUCUUCAAAUCCAGUCUCUGACUUCUUUUUCCAAGAUGCCUUCAAUAUCCCCAAGGUCCACUGCGUUUCUCAAGACCCUGACAUUCACAUUUCACUCACUCACCUCUGAGCCGUAUUUUCAGCUCUGUUUGUACUUUCUCUCCCGCUGUAUCUCUGCUGGUGGCUAGGCUGAUCAAGAUUGUUCUAGGGGCUGAGUGCAUAUUUGUCUAGGCUUCUCUCAUUGGCUAAAAGACAAGCAGAUGUUAUUCUGCUCAUUCUCCCUAGGUAGGCAGCAGCAGAGUUAAGGAAAUAAGCAGGGCAGGAGGGGCUCUUGGGUUGCUCAAUGGGGUCACCUGUCAGGCAAAGACAGAAGUGAUUGACAUCUUAAGGACGUCAGGAACGCAAAAGUCCCAGAGAGAGUUUUGGGCAUGUUCAUUUUCCUGUGAGCCUGAGAGUUGUAUACACCCUGAUCAUCACCAUCAGCAAGUUGUUCGCUUCUUCUCCUGUACCAGGCGCUGCAUUUGGCACAAGAAGAAAAAAAAAAAAAAAUACAGAAAGGCACAGACAGUCCCCAGCUUGUGAUCUGGGUGUGUUCCAAACUCAUCUGUUGCAUUUUUCCAAGAGGCAUUGUUAUAAAUGGGGGUGGGGGAGGAUGUUCUCAGAUGAACCAAAAGCAAAAAAUAAAAAUCUAUUUAAUAUACA